UUCAGCCUCAAUUGCCUCCAUCUCUAUUCUCGUUCUCAACUCUGAACUUGCCCCCGACUCUCUCUCUCUGCAACUGCAAACUACAAAAUCAACUAGAAUUAGAAGUUCAAAACCCAUAUAUUUCAGUUUAUCUAUCUGUCUGCAAGAAUCAAAACCUAUUACCUGUAUCAAAACCCAUCUCUGCAUAUCAUUUCAGAUUGUUCCAAAAAUCAAAACCCAUAUCUUUCAGUUCCCAUCGCCCGCUGUUCUAGUUCGGGUUCGCCGUUCGCAAGCUUCAGAUGCCGGCCCGCUGUCUCUCAACUCUCAAGGGUGCUCCCCCUCUCUCUCUGCAACUGCUAACUUGGUUAACAUCAGGCCUCAACAUUUAGCAAGAACAAGAACAAGGUUCAAGAAACAUGCCUCGUCAGUCAUCGGGUUUCUUUUCUGAAAGAAGAGAGUUGAUGGGAAUGGGUGGAGUGGGCAAAAAGAAAGUAGGCUACGUCACAUCUCCCCUCGUCUUCUUGCGCCACUUGCGCUAUUGUAUUUAACCUCUCUUUUUUCCAUUCUUUAUGAAAGGGAUUUUUUAUAUAUUCACAAUAGUUCCAGUCUUCCGUGAUCAAGACAUCAGGGAAUUCAAGCCGUACUUGUAUGGGGCGGCGACUGCUACGAAUUGUGGAUUUUAGCUCUUGUACGCCAAUCCUGGGUUUCAUCCAAAUGAUGGGAUAUUUUAUGUGAAUUUAUUUGGCCUUUCCCUUGAAGUAUUCUAUAUCUGCACUUUUUUAAUGUUCGGCACUAAUGUCACAAGGAUGUAUUAUGGAUAUUUCGGGGCAAAUUAAACAACUCACUUGGUUGGAAACUACAAAGGAAUGGUAUUUGUUUUGGUCUCAACCAAGAGAAUAAUGUGAAUUUAAUGCUUAUUGUGGCCCAUUUGGUGCCUGCAAUCAGAUUAUUCAACCCUUUUGUAAUUGUUUGCAAUUUUGCAUGAUUUCAGUAUCAAGUCCAUGGAUGAUUGGAAUUUGAGUGAUUAUUCUAGCGGGUGGGAGAGAAAUAUUGUACUGCAGUGUGGGAAUACCAGUACUACAAAUAGGGAAACAAAAUUGAUUCCAGAAAAUCCACACAUGGGAUUGCCUCAAAAUCCUCAGUCUUUACCUGUUGGGAGUGAUGCAGAAUGUAAAUUAGCCAGCUUGAAUAACUGUUCUUGCACUGCUUAUGCAAUAAGAAAAACCUAUUUAUCGGUGUAGGAGUGAUUAGUCUUUUGGUUGCAAUGCUGAUGGUAGCCUCUAAAGCUUUUGAGAACCUGGAAAACAAAACCUAUUAUGUGCGAUGGCUCUGCAUGAUUUUUUUCUAUGAUAAUGUACGGCACUCCAAUUCCAACAGUAUGGCGGUUACUUUAAACUGAGAGGGUCGAAUUUAUGCCAAUUAUGCCAGCUUUGGCAGGGUGCAUCAAUUCUAUCACUUCGUUAGUAGAUUUCUGUGCUGGUGGUCAAUGGUAUUUGUUUUGGUCUCAACCAAGAGAACAAUGUGAAUUUAAUGCUUAUUGUGGGCCAUUUGGUGCCUGCAAUCAGAUUAUUCAACCCUUCUGUAAUUGUUUGCAAUUUUGCAUGAUUUCAAUAUUAAGUCCAUGGAUGAUUGGAAUUUGAGGGAUUAUUCUAGCAGGUGGGAGAGAAAUAUUGUACUGCAGUGUGGGAAUACCAGUACUGCAAAUAGGGAACAAGAUUGAUUCCGGAAAAUCCACACAUGGGAUUGCCUCAAAAUCCUCGAUCUUUGUCUGUUGGGAGUGAUGCAGAAUGUAAAUUAGCCUGCUUGAAUAACUAUUCUUGCUGUGCUUAUCCAAUAAGAUUUUUUUAUUUUUUUUUAAAAAAAAUUUCCCUGUAUGUAUAUUAUUUGUACCUGUCAUGUUGCACAAACCUAUUAUGGCUAUAGAUAAUAAGUGUGGAGUUUGUAAAUAUCAUUGCAUAUAUAUAUAUAUAUAUAUAUAUAUAUAUAUAUAUUUACAUGUUUAUAAGUUACUUUCUAAAUUGUUAGAAAAACCUGUUUAUCGGUGUCGGAGUGAUUAGUCUUUUGGUUGCAAUGCUGAUGGUAGUCCCUAAAGCUUUUGAGAACCUGGAAAACAAAACCUAUUAUGUGCGAUGGCUCUGCAUGAUUUUUUCUGUGAUAAUGUACGGCACUCCAAUUCCAACAGUAUGGCGGGUACUUCAAACUGAGAGUGUCGAAUUUAUGCCAAUUAUGCCAGCUUUGGCGGGGUGCAUCAAUUCUAUCACUUCGUUAGUAGAUUCUGUGCUGGUGGUCAAUUUGAACUUUGUUAUAAGGUUAUUAAGGUAGAGAAAUUAGUGAUUUAAAUUAACAAGUUAAGUAUAUUCUUGAGUGGUUUGUUAUUUGCAGGUUCCAAGUGUUGUGGGAAUACUCUCUACUGGGGCUAAAUCACCAUUUACAUCAUCUAUAACAACGCUCAGAAUUGGUCGAACCUUCCCAUUUCUUGAUGGGGAGAGGAGAGAUGAGGAUGCAGAGGAUGAUAGUGGGAGUGAUACUGAUGGUGGUGAUGAGGACAUUCCGACUUCUACAGUUUAUGGAGAUGUUGAUGCUUGAUUCUAUGUUCAUAUCAUCCAUGCAUCACUUUUUGUUCAGUUUUUACAUUGUUUUGACUUGAUAUUUUUGGAUAUUCUCGUUUAAUUGGUUGAACCUUCCACUUU